rnacentral:tRNA from 1 species
AUCAAGAUGGCAGAAAAAUGCUUUAGAUUUAAGCUCUAACCAUGAGGCCUUUGCCUCUCUUGAUA